GCUUGUCUCAAAGAUUAGCCAUGCAAAUGUAGUCCACUAUCAUAUAAGAUAAAUUAAUUAAUCUUAUAAUGAUUUAGAAAUCUGUAGAUUGCUCAUUAAAAGAGUUAUAUGCUCAGCCAUUGGUAAUAUGAUAAAUUUAUAUUUGUCAUUAUAAGGAUAACGCGGUUAACUUCUGCGAUAAUACUUGAAUUAAAAAAAUAAUGAGUGUUUUUACAUUAGUUAUUUAGUAGUAGAAUUGGGAUGAUUAUCUCUCUAUUAAAACCGUAUUAUUAAUUGUUCUUCGGGAUGAUUAAAUGAUUGGUUAUUGACCGACUUGAUAAAAAAAUGGAUUUUUUUAUUCAGAUUUUAAUAGAUUUGGAUUUAAAAAGAUUCAAAAAGUUGGCCCAGAGGAAGCGUUUCUUACCUAUCAGUUUCUGUCGUUUCAGUAAGGGUGAAACCAGACUACAACGGGUACGGGGAAUUAGUGUUCAAAUCCGGAGAGGGAGCCUGAGAAAUAGCUACCACAUCUAAGGACGGCAGCAGGCGCGAAAAUUACCCAAUGCUAAUUCAGCGAGGUAGUGACGAGAAAUAACGACCUUCUUUUAGAAGGGUAUCGGUCAAACGGUUUGAAAUGGUGGUAGAUCAAAAUUCUAUCAGAGCAACAAUUGGAGGAAAAGUCUGGUGCCAGCACCCGCGGUAAUUCCAGCUCCCAUAGUGUAUUUUAAAGUUGUUGCGGUUAAAACGCUCGUAGUUAAUUUAAGAAUUGGGAACACNGUUUGGAUGUAUUUCAAACAUAAUUAUUUAGUUUGGGAAAUGUUCAUUGAAAUGUUAAUCUAGGUUCUAAGCUUUAUUUUAAAUAAUUUUAAUAUUAUUUGAAUGAGUGGUGAAUAAAAUGUUGAUUUUUGAUUCGUCCCAUUAGAUAGAAUUAAUUUAAUUUAAUUUCUAUUUAAUUUUCAACUGUGAGAAAAUCAAAAUGCUCAAUAUAGACCAUAUUGAUUAUUUAUUCUUUAAAUAAUCUUGUCCGAAUGUUAUAACAUGGUAUUGAGUAAAAGUGACUUGUUUCUUUCGGGAAAUAAGUUACGUUUCGAUUGGGAGACAGGAGGAGGGCUCAGGUAUUGUUUCGUCAGAGGUGAAAUUCAGUGACCGAAGCAAGACUAACAGAUGCGAAAGCUGUAAUGCCCACCACGCCUUCGUCAAUCAGGAACGAAAGUUAGGGAUCGAAGAUGAUUAGAUACCAUUGUAGUCCUAACUGUAAACUAUUAUGACAAUAGGUUGGCAAGAGACCUUUUAUCCAGAUUCCCUCAGAAUAUACAGGAAACUAAAAGUUUUUGAUUUCCGGGGGAAGUAUGGUCGCAAGGCUGAAACUUAAAAGAAUUGACGGAAGAGCACCACCAGGAGUGGAGUUUGCGGCUUAAUUCGACUCAACACGGGAAAUCUCACCAGGUCCGGAUACUAGUAGGAUUGACAGAACAAAGUUCUUUCAUGAUUUGGUAAUUGGUGGUGCAUGGCCGUUCUUAGUUCGUGGAGUGAUUUGUCAGGUUUAUUCCGAUAACGAACGAGACCUUAAUCUAUUAAUUAGGCUGUUGGUAAAUGAGUUAAAUCAUUUAUUAGUUUCUACGGAAACCAACAUAAAUAUCAAGGUAAAACUUGAUUUGCUUCUUAGAGAGACAAUACAACGUUUUUUAUAAUUAGUGUAGGGAGGCUUGAGGCAAUAACAGGUCUGUAAUGCCCUUAGAUGUUCUGGGCAGCACGCGUAUUACAAUAUUAAUACCAACGAGCUUAUCGUGGUUAAAAAUAAUGCCUAUUCUAUUUUGAAACAAGAAUGGGAAAACUUUGCAAAUAUUAAUGUGACUGGGAUAGCUGUUUGGAACUACAUCUUGAACGAGGAAUUCCUAGUAAAUGUAGGUCUACCGGUCGAUUA
rnacentral:rRNA from 1 species